AUUGAACGCUGGCGGCAGGCCUAACACAUGCAAGUCGAACGAGUGGCGGACGGGUGCGUAAUGUCUGUGAAACUGCCCGAUGGCGGGGGAUAACUACUGGAAACGGUAGCUAAUACCGCAUACCAUCGGAGGUGCCCCGAUGUGAUUAGCUAGUAGGUGGGGUAACGGCUCACCUAGGGAACGAUCCCUAGCUGGUCUGAGAGGAUGACCAGGACGGCGUGAACGGCGAAACGGUCCAGCCUCCUACGGGAGGCAGCAUUGGGGAUUAUUGAACAGUGGGCGCAAGCCUGACGCAGCCAUGCCGCGUGUAUGAAGAAGGCCUUCGGGUUGUAAAGUACUUUUAGCGAGGAGGCGUUACUCGCAGAAGAAGCACCGGCUAACUCCGUGCCAGCAGCCGCGGUAAUUC
rnacentral:rRNA from 1 species